CCUACGGGUGGCAGCAGUGAGGAAUAUUGGUCAAUGGACGUAAGCCUGAACCAGCCAAGUCGCGUGCGGGAUGACGGUUCUAUGGAUUGUAAACUUCUUUUAUACGGGAAUAAAGUGUGGUACGUGUCCUAUUUUGUAUGUACCUUAUGAAUAAGGAUCGGCUAACUCCGUGCCAGCAGCCGCGGUAAUACGGAGGAUUCGAGCGUUAUCCGGAUUUAUUGGGUUUAAGGGGUGCGUAGGCGGACUAUCAAGUCAGCGGUAAAAACUCGGGGCUCAACCCCGUCGUGCCGUUGAAACUGAUGGUCUUGAGUGGGCGAGAAGUAGGCGGAAUGCGUGGUGUAGCGGGGAAAUGCAUAGAGAUCACGCAGAACACCGAUUGCGAAGGCAGCAUACCGGGGCACUACUGACGCUGAAGCACGAAAGCGUGGGGAUCGAACAGGAUUAGAUACCCCAGUAGUC
rnacentral:rRNA from 1 species